rnacentral:rRNA from 1 species
AACGCUAGCUACAGGCUUAACACAUGCAAGUCGAGGGGAAACGAUAUUGGAAGCUUGCUUCCGAUAGGCGUCGACCGGCGCACGGGUGAGUAACGCGUAUCCAACCUGCCCACCACUUGGGGAUAACCUUGCGAAAGUAAGACUAAUACCCAAUGACGUCUCUAGAAGACAUCUGAAAGAGAUAAAAGAUUUAUCGGUGAUGGAUGGGGAUGCGUCUGAUUAGCUUGUUGGCGGGGUAACGGCCCACCAAGGCGACGAUCAGUAGGGGUUCUGAGAGGAAGGUCCCCCACAUUGGAACUGAGACACGGUCCAAACUCCUACGGGAGGCAGCAGUGAGGAAUAUUGGUCAAUGGACGAGAGUCUGAACCAGCCAAGUAGCGUGCAGGAAGACGGCCCUAUGGGUUGUAAACUGCUUUUAUAAGGGAAUAAAGUGAGUCUCGUGAGACUUUUUGCAUGUACCUUAUGAAUAAGGACCGGCUAAUUCCGUGCCAGCAGCCGCGGUAAUACGGAAGGUCCGGGCGUUAUCCGGAUUUAUUGGGUUUAAAGGGAGCGUAGGCCGGAGAUUAAGCGUGUUGUGAAAUGUAGAUGCUCAACAUCUGAAUUGCAGCGCGAACUGGCAGACUUGAGUGUGCGCAACGUAGGCGGAAUUCGUGGUGUAGCGGUGAAAUGCUUAGAUAUCACGAAGAACUCCGAUUG